GAAAAAUAACAGGGAAAGAAGCCCUCGUUCCCCACUCGCCGCCGCAUCCCCGCUGAGCUCCACGCGCGGCAAUUCCUCGCCGCCGCCGCCGCCUCCGCCUCCGCCUCCGCCUCCGCCGGUGGGCUUCCUCACCACCGGCGAACUCUCCUAUCCCUCGAAUUCGUCGCCGAUCCGGUCCUGUCCUGCUGCGCAAGUCCGGGCUUACCAAGCUGCUUCUCAUCACCUAAGCCGUCCUCAACAGUGCCUCCCCGCCCCCGUUCUGCCGCACCCAGCAAGCUCUCCUCUCAAUGGCACAACCAAGUGGCAGUGAAUCCAGUGGUAGGGGAAAAGACAAUGAUGACUUAACUCCUAUCCCCUUCACUCUUCAUAGAGAUGACAUCGAGACCGACGCCGCUGCUACCCAGUACGACUACGGUGUUGACGACCCCUCUCUCUUGCUAGAGCAACCAG